UGAUCUCCGUUGCUCUGCGAUUUUCUCCUUCAUCGCUCCCUCUUUUUCUCUCUAUUUUUUCUCCGACUUCUUUUUUAUACUUCUUUUUAUUUGUUAAUAUCGAUUUGUUGCCGUUUAUAAAUGAUUCUCAUCGUUUAUUUUUGCAGUUUUCUAUGAAGGUUUAGUUGAACAUGGGGAAAUCAAGAGUUGCUGCUCACAAAAAAACUGAUGCGAAGCUGGUUCAUGAGUUUCUCUGUCUGGAUUAUACUUAUCAUCAAUGUUGAAGAGUAAACGUGGAGAUGCGAGCAAGGAGGUUGCGAAGGAUCCGAACAAGCUUAAGAGGCCUGCAAGUGCCUUAUUCGUUGUCAUAUACGUUUCGUUUUUCCAAUGAUUUACUUGUUGUAAUUUAUGAAUUUUUCGUUAAAUUUUAUCUAGAGAGGAUGUUUUUGGCUAAAAAUUUUUAAGAUUUAUUUUCCACUUUGUUUCGAUUUUUGGACCUCUUGGUGUUUCAAAGACACAAACCAACACACAACCCACAUAUUAAUAACAUUAUCACUCCUACCUGUUAAUUUUAUUAUUUUUUUCAGAUAAAAUUUGAGGCCAAAGUUGUUUGCUUUUUUAGUUUCUGCUGCUGCUCGGCUGCCUUCGGACUAGGUCGAAACACUGUCGUUCUACAUGCAACUGAGCUUCUCAAUUUCUUAGUUUCUGAACAUUUGAGAAACUUGGUUGCAAGAAAAAGUUGGAAGGGCAACAUAAUUGGAAAAUUGGGUUACAACAAUCACCCUCUAAACUGCAGAGGAGUCUGCAUUUGAAGUUCUUUUCGACUGGGAUGAGAAGAUUGGAGUCCCGAGAGCAUUCAUAAUUAGAAAUGAGCAUCAGAUUGAGUUUUAUUUGAGUUGAUAACUUACCUUUAUGUGCAUUUUUGGUUUGGCUCUUAUUUGAAAUAUUUUUCUAAUUGUGAUCAUUGUGCCUCAUGUUUUGUUAGGAUUUUGAUAUUCUAAUUUCUUUGUAUAAGAUUAGUGUAUGUGUUAGGAAUUUCGGGUUUAGUCAUUUUUGUAUACUAUCACAAGAUAUGUGCUUGCACUUGCUAAUCUUUUUUGCUAUGUUUGUAUAAAUAUUAUAUUGAUGUGGUUAUCAGAAAUAAGAAAGUGACUUCAAAUGCCCAUUUCAUUUGAGUCUUAUCUUUUCCGUCUGAAUAUUAAUAAUCAGAUCAAAUUCUCUGACCUAAGCCGUAAAUUUUGUGGGUUGAAAAAAAAAACACUGUGAAUUAUGUGAAGUGGAAUGAAACCAUAGGUUUUUGUAAUACAUUUGCAAAUGAACAUUAUUAUGCUUUUGUAAUAUGAUGCUCUCUUAAUUUUAUUAUGUAAUUUGUUUUUGUAAUACGAUGAUCUCUUAACUUGCUUUUGCAGAUCUUCUUUGGUUCCUAUGCUAGCUUUGUGUGUCUCCAUCUCCAAAUAAUUUAGUUGAAAAUCACUAAUAUGCAUGCAAAUUUGAAAGGGUUUUGAUCUUUCGAUGAGUUUAAAAUGUUUGUUGGUGGUUGGUUGUAUUGCUGUCAAAUAUUUGUUGGAUAGUUUGGAACGGAGAAGUUGGUUGAUUUAGAGAAACUGAAUACACAUGGAAUUUGGAAGAGUUUUUGGUCUUA